UGAUGUCUGGCCGGCUGCAACCUAGGAGUCCAACCAGAGAGACAGAGCCGUAGAAAUGCUUUGCUGGCCCAACGAGCUGAACUCCAUUUGGCCAGUCAUCUCCUGGUGCCAGCUUUGACUUGGGAGAAGCAGACACAGGGAGGGAGGAGGGCCACUAACAAAGUGACAAAGGAGCAGCAAACAGCAGAGAGGCUAACAGAGGGAGUUUGCCUGGGAUCUGCCUGAGAGGAGGUACGCUAAGGGCUGCAUUAAGGAGGCUGUGUUGGGCAGAAGCAACUUUGUCUGUACAAAGUGCAAGCUGGUCUCCAUAUUGGAAGAGAAGGUUCAAGGUCUAGAGCAACAGGUAUCGAUCCUGCGUUGCAUAAGAGAAACUGAAGAUUUCCUGGACAGACGUCAGGAUAUGCUUCUACGGACACAACGUUCUGAAGAUUCAGAGCAGGCUGUGCAGCGGGGACAGGAGAACGGUGAAGAAAUUUGGCAGCAUGUGACCUCCAGAAAAAGAAAGGGGAGCAUCCAUGUACCAGCAACACAGAUACAGCUGGAUGUGUUUCUCCUUCCCAGAGGCUAGCGAAGAUUAGAAGGUGAAAAAAAACUCGUGAUGAAAUGUUCACUGACCUCAAGCUGUCCUCCCACACUGACAGAGCACAGCAAAAUACGUGGAAGCAGACAAUCUCAGAGUGCAGGAAAACACAAUAUGACCACGAGGAGAGGUGGCGGGCUGAAGAUGGUAGGUGGUGUCAGCUUGCUGAAAGAAGGCAGGAGUCAAUGCUUAGGCUGCUGGAGGAUCAAACUUAUAUGCUCCAGCGUAUGGUUGAGCUGUAGGAAAGGCAGCAGGAGAACAGACCACCGCCACAGCCCCUGUGUAACCAACCGCCCUCCUCCCCAAGUUCCAUAGCCUCCUCACCCAGACACCCAAGAACGCGGUGGGGGGGCCUCCGGCCACCCAGCCACUCCACUCCAGAGGAUUGCCCAAUCAACAGAAAGCUGGCAUUCAAUAAGUUUUAAAGUGCUGUGUGGCCUUGUCCUUCCCUCCUCCACCACCUCUCCCGGGCUACCUUGGCAGUUAUCCCCCUA